AGAGUUUGAUCCUGGCUCAGAACGAACGCUGGUGGCGUGUCUUAUACAUGCAAGUCGAGCGAGGCAGCAAUGCCGAGCGGCGAACGGGUGAGUAACGCGUAAGCAAUCUGCCCCAUAUCAGGAAAUACCCGUGCCAACGCGCGGUUAAUGUCCAGGAGAGUGGCCCUCUGCAUGGAGGGUUGACUAGAGAUUUAUCGGUAUGGGAUGAGCUUGCGUCCGAUUAGCUAGUUGGCGGGGCAACGGCCCACCAAGGCGACGAUCGGUAGCCGGCCUGAGAGGGUGAUCGGCCACAUUGGGACUGAGAUACGGCCCAGACUCCUACGGGAGGCAGCAGUAGGGAAUAUUGCACAAUGGGGGAAACCCUGAUGCAGCAACGCCAACCGUGUGGGAAGAAGCAUUUCGGUGUGUAAACCACUGUCAUGAGGGAAUAAGGCCCGCCUUCGGACGGACUUGAAUGUACCUUGAGAGGAAGCACCGGCAAACUUCGUGCCAGCCGCCGC
rnacentral:rRNA from 1 species